rnacentral:rRNA from 1 species
GUUAAAAAGCUCGUAGUUGGAGUUCUGCCAGGUGCCGCUUGUCCGCCCCAGUGGUGAGUACGUGGCGCGCAUUUGGCCCUUUCAAGGGGAGCGUAUCUGCACUUUACUGUGUGGUGCGGGAUCCUUGACUUUUACUUUGAGGAAAUAGGAGUGUUCCAAGCAGGCUCUCGUCGUGCACAGCUCAGCAUGGAAUAAAAGCAUUGGACCUCGAUUCUAAGCUGUUGGUUGCCAGAAGCGAGGUAAUGAUGAAGAGGGAUAGUUGGGGGCAUUCGUAUUUAACUGUCAGGGGUGAAAUUCUUGGAUUUGUUAAAGACGGACUACUGCGAAAGCAUCUGCCAUGGAUGUUUUCAUUGAUCAAGAACGAAAGUUAGGGGACCGAAGACGAUCAGAUACCGUCCUAGUCUUAACUAUAAACCAUGCCGGCUAGAGAUCGGAGGUUGUUCGUUUUGUGACGCCUUCAGCAUCUUGAGAGAAAUCAAAGCCUUUGGGUUCCGGGGGGAGUAUGGUCGCAAGGCUGAAACUUAAAGGAAUUGACGGAAGGGCACCACCAGGAGUGGAGCCUGCGGCUUAAUUUGACUCAACACGGGGAAACUUACCAGGUCCAGACUGGGUAAGGAUGUACAGAUUGAUAGCUCUUUACAGAUUCUCAGGGUGGUGGUGCAUGGCCGUUCUUAGUUGGUGGAGUGAUUUGUCUGGUUAAUUCCGUUAAC